rnacentral:rRNA from 1 species
GCCCAAGAGAUCGGGAUAACACCUGGAAACAAGAUGCUAAUACCGGAUAACAACAGAUGAUGCCUAUCAACUGUUUAAAAGAUGGUUCUGCUAUCACUCUUGGAUGGACCUGCGGUGCAUUAGCUAGUUGGUAGGGUAACGGCCUACCAAGGCGAUGAUGCAUAGCCGAGUUGAGAUACUGAUCGGCCACAUUGGGACUGAGACNACGGGCCCAAACUCCUACGGGAGGCAGCAGGC